rnacentral:rRNA from 1 species
AGUGAACGCUGGCGGUAGGCCUAACACAUGCAAGUCGAACGGCAGCACAGUAAGAGCUUGCUCUUACGGGUGGCGAGUGGCGGACGGGUGAGGAAUACAUCGGAAUCUACUUUUUCGUGGGGGAUAACGUAGGGAAACUUACGCUAAUACCGCAUACGACCUACGGGUGAAAGCAGGGGAUCUUCGGACCUUGCGCGAUUGAAUGAGCCGAUGUCGGAUUAGCUAGUUGGCGGGGUAAAGGCCCACCAAGGCGACGAUCCGUAGCUGGUCUGAGAGGAUGAUCAGCCACACUGGAACUGAGACACGGUCCAGACUCCUACGGGAGGCAGCAGUGGGGAAUAGUGGACAAUGGGCGCAAGUCUGAUACAGCCAUACCGCGUGGGUGAAGAAGGCCUUCGGGUUGUAAAGCCCUUUUGUUGGGAAAGAAAAGCAGCAGGUUAAUACCCCGCUGUUCUGACGGUACCCAAAGAAUAAGCACCGGCUAACUUCGUG